UGGUAGUUUCUAUGCCACUUUUCUACUCUGAUAUUUUCUUGUGUGCUAUACCAGAAUUUAUAAUUUCCUGAGCAAUGCACAUGGACGAUAUCUGGAGCGGUCAAGAGGAUGAGCUGAUUUUUGAAAAAAAGUUUGAAGAGGUGCCCAGUUUGUGCUCGCUACCGAAGGAGCUCCAUGUUGAAGAAGAUUGAAGACACUUGUAGAGCUACAGGGUUAACACCAGGGUACCGUAUCACGUGUAGAGCUUGUAUAUGUUAGAGCUUAUUAUGUGUAGAGCUUGUAAAGUAUAUGUUAUUUGUACAAUAGGAGCUCUGUACUGAAUCUGGCUGAUAAUAUUUGGAGUAUUAUGUGUGUGUUUUGUUUGUGCCAAUUUAAAUACUGGUUAUUUAUUUACUGUUAAA